rnacentral:misc_RNA from 1 species
GAUGAAGAACGCAGCGAAAUGCGAUAAGUAAUGUGAAUUGCAGAAUUCAGUGAAUCAUCGAAUCUUUGAACGCAUCUUACGCUCCUUGGUAUUCUGAGGAGCAUGCCUGUUUGAGUGUCAUUAAAUUCUCAACUACACUGACUUUGAAUUGGUGUGGCUUGGAUUUGGGGGGAAAAUUGUUGUGGGCUUUUUGUAUAGUCUGCUCCCCUGAAAUUGAUUAGCGGUACCUUUGUGGAACUGUCUACAGGUGUGAUAAUUAUCUACAUCUUAGACAUCUGCUGGAAUGCUGCUUUCUAAACCUUACUUGUAUUGACAAUCUUGACCUCAAAUCAGGUAGGACUACCCGCUGAACUUAAGCAUAUCAAUAAGCGGAGGA